UAAAUGCUUCAUUUUUUUCUCAGUGAUAUUGUCUAUCUUGUUCUGCUAAUGUGUAUAAUAAAAUGAUUUCUGAAUUUAUUGUAUAUAAUGAAACUCAAGAUCGAUGAUGGUUUGGAGACUGAGAUUAGCUACUG
rnacentral:pre_miRNA from 1 species